CAGCAGCCGCGGUAAUACGAGGGGGGCAAGCGUUGUUCGGAAUUAUUGGGCGUAAAGGGCGCGUAGGCGGUUUGGCAAGUUUGGUGUGAAAUCUUCGGGCUCAACUCGAAGUCUGCAUCGAAAACUGCCGGGCUUGAGUGUGGGAGAGGUGAGUGGAAUUUCCGGUGUAGCGGUGAAAUGCGUAGAUAUCGGAAGGAACACCUGUGGCGAAAGCGGCUCACUUGACCACAACUGACGCUGAGGCGCGAAAGCUAGGGGAGCAAACAGGAUUAGAUACCCCUGUAGUCCCUGUCUCUUAUAC
rnacentral:rRNA from 1 species